rnacentral:tRNA from 1 species
UCCCGUGUGGCUCAGUUGGUAGAGCAUGGUGUUUGCAAUGCCAGGGUUGUGGGUUCAAUUCCCACGGGGGGGG